ACUCCCUACGGGGCGCAGCAGUGGGGAAUAUUGGGCAAUGGGCGCAAGCCUGACCCAGCAACGCCGCGUGAAGGAAGAAGGCUUUCGGGUUGUAAACUUCUCUUCUCAGGGACGAAGCAAGUGACGGUACCUGAGGAAUAAGCCACGGCUAACUACGUGCCAGCAGCCGCGGUAAUACGUAGGGGGCAAGCGUUAUCCGGAUUUACUGGGUGUAAAGGGAGCGUAGGCGGUUUAGCAAGUCAGAAGUGAAAGCCCGGGGCUCAACUCCGGGACUGCUUUUGAAACUGUUGAACUAGAUUGCAGGG
rnacentral:rRNA from 1 species